rnacentral:lncRNA from 1 species
UCACCUCCAUCUCUCUUUAGACUCUUUAGGCACAUCUCAUAUAGGCAGUCAUCAUAGCCUCUUUAUGAAUAAAGUAAUACUGAUUUUAGAUUGAAUAUAGGUCGGUAGUAUCGGAUCCACUCUUGGGCUAGGCCUGGGUCGGGCCAAAGAUAUAUCCGAGCCUAGCUCAAAAUUCAAAUGGAUCCUAUAAUUAGACUCA